AUAUAAUAUGUUCCCAACAUACUGGUGAGUAAACAAAACUUAAGGAAAAACUUCUGCUCUUCCACAAUCUUCAUUUAUGACGAUUUAAUCUUUUAAUUGCUCAUUUUAUUGAAGCAGUUAAAAGUCCAAUCUUCCGUCUUUAUAUUUUACAUUGAUAAUCAUAUUUCCAUGUUCUGUCAACGCCUCAGGUGCGACCAAUUUAGGCUUUAAUUAAGAGUCAGCGGCGCGUGCGUAUUUUAGGUGUUUUUAUUUUGAGCUGCGUCACCACAAGAGGGAGCAAAAUGGAAACAGAAGAUUUCACGCAACAUUAAUUUUAGGGGAAGACCCCACAGUAUGGCGCCUACUGUAUGCCCGCGUUUGGUGUAUUUAAUGUCAAUAUUAUUAACUUUCUCCAAACACUGUGACACAGUUUCACCUGGCUGGAGCUGCACGGAGAAACAGAGUGGUGACCCUCUGAUGACCCUGCAUGGUGUGAAAGACGUCACAUAGGAGUGGCUAUAAACCCAUGUUCUGGAAGUUGACUGUUGACCACAGGUGACGGUGCAGCUCUGGAAAACUACCGGCAUGUUGUCACCCAAGCUCAGACGACGCCUCCAUGCUUGAGCUCAAGCAGACAUCCCGCAGGGAGCGGAUAGCGGUGGAGAUGGAGGGAGGACGUUUUUAAGCACUUCAAAGUGGCCUCAUUCCACACAGCUGAGCUCAGAGGAGAAAAUGGAAAUAGCCAACAUUGAACCGACGCAGUCAAUACCACUCUCCAGAAAAGGGCUGAGAGGGACGCUCUCUGCCACAGAGCAAGACUGAUGGAGGGAGGAGUGGGCGAUAGCCGGAGUAUGUCAGGUUUCAUCUGCCCUGUGUGACACACAGCUCUCUGACAGCUCUGCUACACUUGAUCUAGUCUGAAAACUAUCUCUCUCAUGCUCGCACAUGCUCUUUCUCUCCUCAUAUUUUCCUCUCUUUCUAUCAUGUACACACUCUUUCUUUUCCUUUCUUUCCACUUCUCACUCUAUCUUUAUCAGUCUCUUACCCCCUCUGGGCUGCCAUUUUGCAGCAUAUGGCUCCCCCACUCAAGUGUUCACACAUGCACCGCCAUAUGUGUUUGCUCAUGCACCCUCACAUGCACUUUCUCUUCUCCUGUUUAUUCGCUCUUCUUCCUUCUCUGUGUGUCUUUAUUAAAAUAGCACCUAGCCAACUCAUUCACAUUUAGAUGAGGUAAUUAUGAAAAAGCAACAAGAUGGAGAGGAGGGGAUGUGAUUGGAAGGAUGAUUUUAAUUUAUCUAGGAGAAAACAAGCAAGUAAAAUAAGUGAAGAACACACUCUCUCUAACUACCAUCACGAUGUCACUGAGUUAGGCUUUCGGUUAACAAGGCUAGACUGGGGAAUCAUCUCUGUCUUUUGUUGUUUCCACUGACCUCUAGAUUGGCUGAACUGGCUGUCAGUCAGGGAUUCAUAAGCUGUCAGUCACUGUGAAAUCUCACAUCUCCACAUGUAAUUUGAUUUGAUUUGUCGACGUCUUUCACUUUCUCUGCCCAUUUUUGUUAGACAAGUCGAACAUUCAGUUACAGGCCUUGCAGUUUGGUCAUUCAAGCUCCAGGUGUUCCAGCAGACUGGUUUGAUGAAACACUGGUUGUACUGAGCAAGUAUGAAUGCAUGUAACCAUGUGUGUGAAGCAGAGCAUUGUGCUGAAACAUGCUUUGUUAAAGUAACAUGUGUCUCGCAUUGAGGUGUUGCCUGGCAUGUUCGCUCACCAAGGUGCUGAUGUACACAUUUCCAAAAUCUGAAACACAUGUAAAACAUAUCACACUGACAGUUGAUGUUGUCCCUGCACAUGACCCAUACAGCCUACAAGUUUUAUGGUAUAGACAAAGGUUGUGGUCUUUUUCUCAAUGGGAUAGGCUUAUGAAAGUUACAAUCCAGAACAAAAGGGAUUAACACGGUGAGAGAUCCAGAGAGAUGGAAAUACAAAAUGAAGUCAUUUAUUAACUGCAGUAGAACUCACAGUAUCUCAGCUGCAUGGUAAAUAACAACUAAAUCAACAGAGGAUUGUAGAUGUGGUGGGAGGAGGAGCACCAAUGAUGUAAGUUUCCCUGUUGCUCCUGAAUGUGACUUAAUUUAUUAAUUUCCUGCAUGAUUCUGGUCAUUUACAUAUGGAAAACAUAGAGCAUAUACUUAAAAAAAUUUUGUAUGUGACAUUUAUAAACCAGAACAACCAAAAUGUCUUCUGCUCAUCUAAAAUCCAAACCACCAAGAGGAGGCCAAAGCCUUGCAUUUUCCUGGGUCAACUACUGAACAAGUGGUUGAGGCUAAUGUAGAUAACACACUCAAUGCCGAACUUUUGCAAACUAUGAUGGUCUCCCUGAAAGCAGACAUCUUUGUGAAAAUUGAGUCUUUCUCUUCCAGUCUCGAGAUUUCCUCUGUCUGAAAAGAACUACAAGAAUUUGAUAGAACCAUUGCAAGAAAAGGUCGAACAACACGGGCAAACUAAGCUAGAACUUGAGCUAGCAGCUACAGAUCGUAGCAACAGUUAGUUAGUUUCAUUUGCAAUGUGAUUGUAUGUCGGGCCGGGGAACACGCUCCUCUCCUCUACCGGUAUAAGAGGAUUUACAUCUUUGCUGACUACACAUCCACUGUCGCUAAAAAGCAGGCUGCUUUUUGCAAUGUUCGGCGUCAGCUCUACUCAUGUCCGUGCAUCAAGUCUGGGCUGCUGUACACGGCAGUACUCAGAAUCACCCUGUUGAGCAGAGACACGCACUGGUUUGAAGAUCCUGCCACUGCAAGUGACUUCAUCAACAAAAGCUUCAAGAAAGCAGUCACUCCAAGUCAUGUGUGAAGAGACAUAGGUGAGUUAGCAGAGCUGGCUGACCUAGCCUAUACUCGUUUGUUACCUUGACUUGGACUACAUUUCCCACUAAGUCAUUGUUGCUUUCUGUACGAAUGGAUGACUUCCCUAAUAUGGAAAUUUAUUGGUAUCCUGUUACUGCGGCUCUGUUAAUUUCAUACAUGUUUACAAUUGUUUGAUACUGUCACAAUUAUCUGUUAGGUAGCUCUAGUUGUCUGUGAUGGUGAUGGCUACAGUGGAGUGUUUAGCACGUUUAAUGGACAUGUCUCAUUUGGGGAGACACUUCUGUCAAGGUGGGAGGGGGUAACACAGUUUGUUUACCACAAAGAGUUGUUUUAUUUUGUGUUUUUUGUUUGUAUUUUGUGUGUCUGCUUGGUCUAUCAAUAUUGAAUACGUUCAUUAGAUACUCUUAUUCACUGGUAUGUCUAUCAUGCUUCAUUCCUUGCCUCUUAAGAUGUUUCUAUGGCUUCACCUAAAUUAACACAGUAAGAUGGAAGUGUGCAAAUAUUUUGUAGCUGUAAUUGUAGAGGCCUUAAUAAUCCUGUCAAGCUCAGCAGAGUCUACUGCCCCAUCUCCAACACUAUGGUGUCCAGAUAAUUUAUGUACAAGAAACUCAUCUUAGAGUUUCUGAUCAGACCAGAUUAAAAAGUAGUUACAUUGACCAUA